UACGUAGGCAGCAAGCGUUGUUCGGAAUUACUGGGCGUAAAGAGUGUGUAGGUGGUUUGUUAAGUCUGAUGUGAAAGCCCUGGGCUCAACCUGGGAAUUGCAUUGGAUACUGGCAGGCUAGAGUGCGGUAGAGGAUGGCGGAAUUCCCGGUGUAGCAGUGAAAUGCGUAGAGAUCGGGAGGAACAUCUGUGGCGAAGGCGGCCAUCUGGACCAGCACUGACACUGAGGCACGAAAGCGUGGGGAGCAAACAGG
rnacentral:rRNA from 1 species